GGAUAACCUUCCCUUAGGACUGGGAUAACCCUGGGAAACUGGGGCUAAUACCGGAUAGGCAAUUAUUCCUGCAAUGGUUUUUUGUUUAAAUGUUUUUUCGCCUAAGGAUGGGUCUGCGGCCGAUUAGGUAGUUGGUUAGGUAAUGGCUUACCAAGCCGUUGAUCGGUACGGGUUGUGAGAGCAAGAGCCCGGAGAUGGAACCUGAGACAAGGUUCCAGGCCCUACGGGGUGCAGCAGGCGCGAAACCUCCGCAAUGUGAGAAAUCGCGACGGGGGGAUCCCAAGUGCCAUUCUUAACGGGAUGGCUUUUCAUUAGUGUAAAGAGCUUUUGGAAUAAGAGCUGGGCAAGACCGGUGCCAGCCGCCGCGGUAACACCGGCAGCUCUAGUGGUAACAAUUUUUAUUGGGCCUAAAGCGUCCGUAGCCGGUUUAAUAAGUCUCUGGUGAAAUCCUGUAGCUUAACUGUGGGAAUUGCUGGAGAUACUAUUAGACUUGAGACCGGGAGAGGUUAGAGGUACUCCCAGGGUAGAGGUGAAAUUCUGUAAUCCUGGGAGGACCGCCUGUUGCGAAGGCGUCUAACUGGAACGGUUCUGACGGUGAGGGACGAAAGUUAGGGGCGCGAACCGGAUUAGAUACCCGGGUAGUCCUAACUGUAAACGAUGC
rnacentral:rRNA from 1 species